AACAACAAUUAUACCACCAUUCAAUACUUCGUUGCUAAAAAAAAACACGAUUAAAUCAAAACACCAAAUUCGGAAAAAAAUAAAUCCUACAUCACUACCAAUCGAUUAGCAAAAAGAAAAACCAUUUAAAUGGAUCUAGAAAUGAUCGAAACUCGAUUUUAACUAACCUUGCAAAGCAACAACGCCCCCUUAGCAGUUGCAGACGAAGAACGUACGAAAAUGGCGUUUUUGGGAGAAGUUGUUUGAAAGCAAGAGUUGAAAAUUGAAGAGGAGAGAGAGAGUUUUUUUUUUAAAUAUUGGAAUAAGUGGAGGGGGUUAGGUGUAUUAUAUUAAAUUUGUAAAGUUGUAUAAAUGAUGAAUUGGUCCCUUGGCCCACGUGUGGACCCCACUUUUUCCACUUUUUACACCCUAAACUUAAAAAAUAAAUCAAAAAGAAAUUAAGUGAGUAUUUGGCAAAAUAGUUUUGCAAAAUUUCCUUUUUGUCAAUUAUUCUCCUGAUAAUGCCUAGUUUAGUGUAGCACCUGAUUUCCGCCGACUCAAUCUUGACAUUCACUAACAGUUAAUUAACAUACUUUCAUCGAGAUGAAAUUCUGAGUCAUCCACCAAAACACCAAAAUGCAGUACUCUAACAUACUAGUACAAAAUAAAUAGUGAUUUAGCGGUCAAAAGAAAAUUCAGAGUCAUUCUAAGUAAAUUUGAAUAAUAAUUAUUCUCCUUUUUUUAAUUUAAUUUUUUAAAAUACCUAUUUUAUAUCUAUCUAUCUAUAUAUUAUUUUUGACCAACGUGAAUGUGUUCGAUCAAGGGAAUUGUCCAACUAGUCCCGAUUUUUAUAUAUGUGGCAUCGUUCAAAUUUCAAUAGCCAAACAGAUCCUUAAAAGUAGUAUAAAAGUAUAUAAACUAUUCAUGCAUGCAUCAAGCCAUCAAUUAAUUUCAUUCUACAUCAUCAUGGAUAAAUAGAUUAUUGGCCAAGUAUUGUUUUUUUGUUCAGUAAUUUUUAAACUAAAUUGAUGGAGUAAUAUUUUCUUCUGAUUCGGUUUAUGUGGCACGUUCUAAUUUUGAAAGUUAAGUUAUUUAAUUUUGAUCAUGCAUUUGAUCAAGGUCUCUUUAAGUUUUUUUUUUUUGUUAAAAAAAAUAUUUAAAAUUACAUAAAAAAGAAAACUAUAAAUCACUAUAAUUAAUAGAUCAAAAUUUUAUAUCUCCUUUUAUGAAAUUAGUAUAUUUUUCUCAUUCUUAUUUUAUAUAUAGUUUUGAUCAGACUUUCUUAUAAGCAAACAAUGACUUUUGUCCUACUUAAAGUUGAGGAUUGGGUACUUACGUGUUUCUUGGGUUGUGCGCAAAAUAUUCAUGAGGAUUGUAUUUGACCAUCACAAUGGAUAACUUUCACCUUAUUACCUUAAAUUUUUAUUUGAAAUUUCAAAUUCACAAAUUCACACACACAUAUAUAUAUAUAUAUAUCAAGAAAAGACAAUAUUUUUUUUGCUAUUUCACCUUAAACAUUAAUUAUUUAUUCUUCAAAUUAUUUUCAAAACAUGUUACUCUAAAUAUAAUUAAUAGAGGUAGUAUGAUAAAAUAGUCGUAUCAACACUAAUUUUCUUAAUAAAUGUGCCAUAGCAAAAAUUGACAAGUAAAAGUAAACAAAGAGAACAUAAGACAUAAUUUGUGAUAAGCUGAACAUGUUUUCUUUUAGAACGUCUGUUAUAUAAACAAAAAUUAAAAUUAAUGCCUAACUUGAUAUAAUGUACCUACAUACUAGAUUUUAUUACAACAACAACAACAACAACAAACCCAGUGUAUUCCCACUUAGUGGGGUCUGGGGGGGGUAAGAUGUACGCAGUCCAUACCUCUACCUCUGAUGAAGUAGAAAGGCUGUUUCCGAAAGACCCCCGGCUCAAGUCACGAGAUAUCACACAACACAUAGUACAGCACAGAAGCAGAUGACAUAACAUAGAUACAUACUAGAUUUUAUUAAUAAAAUGAAAUUUGAAUUCAAUGAAACAUAUUCACUAUCUUAAAAUACCAUGAUCCCUAUCUUAUAGUCAAAACUAAUUUAGGUACCAUGGUACAUAGGCAACAAAACUUUUGCCCUUUGAAUUUCUGACAGCAAAAAAUAAAGAGAGAGAAGAACACAAUAGGCCAGAGUGCCCUAAUUAAUUCGUUGGUCAGUUGCAUGUAAUCUUCUUUACCAAUUAUGCACAUCUUUAUUCCUAUUAAUUUUUUAAUUAAAAAUAGCUAACAAAUACGCAGUCAAAUUUUUCUAUAGCAAUAUCUUAUUAUAUUAACCUAAUUUUCUUUAAAAUAGAAUUUUUAUAUUAUAUCUUACUUUUCUAUAAUAAUAUUUUAUUUAUAAUAAUAAUUAUCAAAAGAAAAGAAUAAUUAAUAUGAGUCGCAGUACUAUUUUACCACACUAUCACUCACUCAAUAUUUAAUAUUAAUUGAAGAAGUUGAACUAAGGAAAAGAAAGCUUAAAUAACACUCCCAUUCCCAAGAAUACAUGCAAGUAUAUAUAUACUUAUGUCCCACUUCCAUGCAAUGGAAUGUACAGUACCAAUUUCUCACGUGUAUGAAGCAUGCAUAACUUAUACAAAUAAACCAUAUAUAUAUAUAUAUAUAUAU
rnacentral:lncRNA from 1 species